CCCAUAUCGAUCAGGUCACACCUCACCACCCAUAUUAAUCAGGUUACACCUCGCCACACAUAUUAAUCAGGUCGCACCUCACCACCCAUAUUGAUCAGGUAUCCCCUCACCAUCUUAUAAAUCAGGUCACACCUCACCACCCAUAUUGAUCAGGUCACACUUCAGCAUCCACAUUUAUCAUGUCACAGCUCACCACCCAUAUUGGUCCAGUCACACCUCACCACCCAUAUUGAUCAGGUCACACCUCACCACCCAUAUUAAUCAGGUCACACCUCACCAUCAUAUCAAUCAGGUCACACCUCACCACCCAUUUUUAUCAGGUCACACCUCACCACCCAUAUUGAUCAGGUCACAUCUCACCCCCCAUAUUGAUCAGGUCACACCUCACAACCCAUAUUGAUCAGGUCACAUCUCAC
ensembl:lncRNA